CACGUAGGGUGCGAGCGUUGUCCGGAAUUAUUGGGCGUAAAGAGCUCGUAGGCGGUGUGUCGCGUCGGCCGUGAAAACCUGCAGCUUAACUGUGGGCUUGCGGUCGAUACGGGCAUCACUGGAGUUCGGCAGGGGAGACUGGAAUUCCUGGUGUAGCGGUGAAAUGCGCAGAUAUCAGGAGGAACACCGGUGGCGAAGGCGGGUCUCUGGGCCGAUACUGAUGCUGAGGAGCGAAAGCGUGGGGAGCGAACAGG
rnacentral:rRNA from 1 species